rfam:Oryza sativa (indica cultivar-group) chromosome 9, whole genome shotgun sequence.
AAUAAAUACAGUUUUGUAUUAUUUAUCUCCAACGUUUGACCGUUUGUCUUAUUUAAAAUUUUUUUUGUAAUUAGUAUUUUUUGUUGUUAUUAGAUGAUAAAACACGAAUAGUACUUUAUGGAUGACUUUUUUUUAGUUUUUUAUAAAUUUUUCAAAUAAGACGAACAGUUAAACGUUAGACACGGAUCUCUAUGACUGGACUUAUU